rnacentral:lncRNA from 1 species
UAGCCUAUUUUUGGAUCUGGGAAGAGUUAAAGAAAGUGGAAAACAAAAAUGACUGAAUGCUGUUCCAGAUUAAUCGAUCUUCCAUAAUAAUUCUGGUUAUCUUAUAAUUAGGGAGAAGGAUUAUGAACAGUGCAAUAUUUUUGGUGAAGAAUAUAUUUUAUGUGAAAGGAAGAGAUUUCUAGGACAUGGAGGAUUCUAAUUAUUUAAUUUGGUUAUGGUCAUGGCGAUUUGGUCCAUGGCGAUGGUGGCGGUGGUCGAUGGAGAUGGCAGCGUCGGCAAAUUUCUAGUUUUGGGAUUGAGGGGGUCGAUGAAGAAGAGUCUUUUCUUUUUUCUUUUUAUUCUUUUUUGUUUUUGAUUUAAUUUUUUAAUUAUUUUAUGGAAAAAUAUUAAAUUACAAUUUUGCUCUUUUAAAAAUUGAUUAAAAUGUGGUUAGAAUUAAUUUUCGGGCCAACUGAUGACAGAUUGGAUGGAAACUGCCUAUUGGGGCUUCUGUUGUUACGAUUUGAAAUGUUUUGAGUGAUGACUGCAACGAUUGAAAGGUUAGAAAAAUGUCUGGCAAUAUUUGAAAGGUUUGGGUUCUCAGUUGUAAUUAUCCCUUAUUUUUAUGAAUUCUAUUUUUAGCGGUUGGAGGACUCCAAGUUUGCUUCUCCGCUUUUGUCUGUUUAUUAAAAAGUUGUUUGGGGA